rnacentral:tRNA from 2 species
GCGUCAAUAGCUCAGCGGUAGAGCGUAGGAUUGCAGUUGAAUCUGCAGCUAUCCCGAGGUCCCCGGUUCGAUCCCGGGUUGGCGCU